UGGGGAAUAUUGGACAAUGGGCGAAAGCCUGAUCCAGCCAUGCCGCGUGAGUGAAGAAGGUCUUCGGAUUGUAAAGCACUUUAAGUUGGGAGGAAGGGCAGUAAGCGAAUACCUUGCUGUUUUGACGUUACCGACAGAAUAAGCACCGGCUAACUCUGUGCCAGCAGCCGCGGUAAUACAGAGGGUGCAAGCGUUAAUCGGAAUUACUGGGCGUAAAGCGCGCGGAGGUGGUUGGUUAAGUUGAAUGUGAAAGCCCCGGGCUCAACCUGUGAACAGAAUACAAAACUGGCUAGCUAGAGUAGGGCAGAGGGUAGUGUAAUUUCCUGUGUAGCUGUGAAAUGCGUAGAUAUAGGAAGAAACACCAGUGGGGAAGGCGACCACCUAGGCUCAUACUGACACUGAGGUGCGAAAGCGUGGGGAGCAAACAGG
rnacentral:rRNA from 1 species